CUUAUCUCCAAAGACCAUGAGUCUUCGCCCCUCCUAACUGCAGAGACAGGCAGUCUGUUAGCCACCACCAGCAGCCGCUGCCUUAAAGGCCUUCCAUCCUCCUUUUCACAUCCCUCAGUCCUUGUAGCUGCAAUAGCCCCCUCAAGGUAUUGCUCAAUAUACGAAUUGUUUGAGUUGUCACCUGCUCUCAAACGCAAACCAUGUUCACAUGGUUCAAUCCCCCCAUUAUUAUCAGUCACCUCAUUUGAAUGGGAAGCCCUGCUGCUUCUCUUUAGCUCUCUUUCUCUCAAGAGCCGUUGCGUACGACUUGGGUAAGGGGUUGAGUUACCGUUGUACUGGUUUCCAGGCAUACGCUCACUCUAGAACCCAACCUCCAGCCACCAAAUUGUAUCAGCUCCGGCUGUUCUUAGAACAAUUGUAUGUC
rnacentral:misc_RNA from 1 species